GUGGGGAAUAUUGGACAAUGGGGGGAACCCUGAUCCAGCCAUGCCGCGUGUGUGAAGAAGGCCUUUUGGUUGUAAAGCACUUUAAGUGGGGAGGAGGCUUACCUGGUUAAUACCUGGGCUAAGUGGACGUUACCCACAGAAUAAGCACCGGCUAACUCUGUGCCAGCAGCCGCGGUAAUACAGAGGGUGCGAGCGUUAAUCGGAUUUACUGGACGUAAAGCGCGCGUAGGUGGUUAAUUAAGUCAAAUGUGAAAUCCCCGAGCUUAACUUGGGAAUUGCAUUCGAUACUGGUUAGCUAGAGUAUGGGAGAGGAUGGUAGAAUUCCAGGUGUAGCGGUGAAAUGCGUAGAGAUCUGGAGGAAUACCGAUGGCGAAGGCAGCCAUCUGGCCUAAUACUGACACUGAGGUGCGAAAGCAUGGGGAGCAAACAGGAUUAGAUACCCGGGUAGUCC
rnacentral:rRNA from 1 species